rnacentral:rRNA from 1 species
AUUGAACGCUGGCGGCAGGCCUAACACAUGCAAGUCGAGCGGAUGAAGGGAGCUUGCUCCUGGAUUCAGCGGCGGACGGGUGAGUAAUGCCUAGGAAUCUGCCUGGUAGUGGGGGAUAACGUCCGGAAACGGGCGCUAAUACCGCAUACGUCCUGAGGGAGAAAGUGGGGAAUCUUCGGACCUCACGCUAUCAGAUGAGCCUAGGUCGGAUUAGCUAGUUGGUGGGGUAAAGGCCUACCAAGGCGACGAUCCGUAACUGGUCUGAGAGGAUGAUCAGUCACACUGGAACUGAGACACGGUCCAGACUCCUACGGGAGGCAGCAGUGGGGAAUAUUGGACAAUGGGCGAAAGCCUGAUCCAGCCAUGCCGCGUGUGUGAAGAGGGUCUUCGGAUUGUAAAGCACUUUAAGUUGGGAGGAAGGGCAGUAAGUUAAUACCUUGCUGUUUUGACGUUACCAACAGAAUAAGCACCGGCUAACUUCGUG